UACGGAGGGAGCUAGCGUUGUUCGGAAUUACUGGGCGUAAAGCGCACGUAGGCGGCUUUUUAAGUCAGGGGUGAAAUCCCGGGGCUCAACCCCGGAACUGCCCUUGAAACUGGGAAGCUAGAAUCUUGGAGAGGCGAGUGGAAUUCCUAGUGUAGAGGUGAAAUUCGUAGAUAUUCGGAAGAACACCAGUGGCGAAGGCGACUCGCUGGACAAGUAUUGACGCUGAGGUGCGAAAGCGUGGGGAGCAAACAGG
rnacentral:rRNA from 1 species